rnacentral:rRNA from 1 species
UAAAAAAAGGUAAGCUACUAAGAGCAAAUGGUGGAUGCCUUGGCUAGUAGAGGCGAUGAAAGACGUGCUAGGCUGCGAUAAGUCUCGGGGAGCCGUCAAGGGGCUUUGAUCCGGGAAUUUCUGAAUGGGGCAACCCAGUAUAUAGUGAUAUAUACUACCGCAAUGCGGAGCGAACGUUGGGAAUUGAAACAUCUUAGUACCAACAGGAAAAGAAAUCAAACGAGAUUACGCUAGUAGCGGCGAGCGAAAGCGUAAGAGGGCAAACCACUAGCUUGCUAGUGGGGUUGUAGGACUGCAAUAUAGACUUAAACAAUCUAAUAGAAUAAGCUGGAAAGCUUAAGCAUAGAGGGUGAUACUCCCGUAUAUGAAAGUGCGUUUAUACUUAGCAGUAUCCUGAGUAGGGCGGGACACGUGUAAUCCUGUCUGAAGCUGGGUAGACCACUAUCCAACCCUAAAUACUACUACUAGACCGAUAGUGCACAAGUACCGUGAGGGAAAGGUGAAAAGAACUGAGGUGAUCAGAGUGAAAUAGAACCUGAAACCAUUUGCUUACAAUCAUUCAGAGCCCUAUGAUUUAUCAGGGUGAUGGACUGCCUUUUGCAUAAUGAGCCUGCGAGUUGUGGUGUCUGGCAAGGUUAAGGAAACCCGGAGCCGUAGCGAAAGCGAGUCUUAAUAGGGCGUAUAGUCAGAUGCUGCAGACCCGAAACGAUGUGAUCUAUCCAUGAGCAGGUUGAAACCGGUGUAAGAGCCGGUGGAGGACCGAACAGACGGCCGUUGAAAAGGCUCCUGAUGACUUGUGGAUAGGGGUGAAAGGCCAAUCAAACAUCGUGAUAGCUGGUUCUCUCCGAAAUAUAUUUAGGUAUAGCGUUGUGUAGUAACUUUGUGAGGUAGAGCACUGAAUGGGCUAGGGCAUACACCAAUGUACCAAACCCUAUCAAACUCCGAAUGCGCAAAGUGUAAUCACAGCAGUCAGGCGGCGAGUGAUAAAAUCCGUCGUCAAGAGGGGAACAACCCAGACUAACAGCUAAGGUCCCUAAAUCUCAUUUAAGUGGAAAACGAUGUGAAGUUACUUUAACAACCAGGAGGUUGGCUUAGAAGCAGCCAUCCUUUAAAGAAAGCGUAAUAGCUCACUGGUCUAGUGAUUUCGCGCGGAAAAUAUAACGGGGCUAAAAUGAGUACCGAAGCUUUAGA